rnacentral:rRNA from 1 species
GAUGUAUAGCAAUAGCUAAUUGCACCAACAAAUAGUUGAUGUAAUAUCGACUAUGUCGAAUAAAAUUCUAGGUAGAAUUAUGAUAAUGACAUUGUCUGCCUAUGUGUCUUGACCAAAUUACGUGCCAGCAGUCGCGGUAAUACGUAGAAGACUAGUGUUAUUCAUCUUUAAUUGGUUUAAAGGGUACCUAGACAGUAAAUCAAGCCUUAAACGGGACUAAUUUACUAGAGUUACUUGUGAAGGGGUAUUAAAGUACUAAUGGUGUAGAGAUGAAAUUCUGUCAUACCUUUUCUUAAGACAAGAACAUAUGGCACAGGUAUAGGCGAAAGCAUCCCCUUAUGUGAUAACUGACGUUGAAGGACGAAGGCUUUGUGUCGCGAACAGGAUUAGAUACCCCAGUAGUCAAAGCAGAAAAUGAUGAAUGUCAUAGAUUAGAUAUAUAGUUUAUUCUAUAAAUGAAAGUGUAAGCAUUCCACCUCAAGAGUAAUUUGGCAACAUUGGAACUGAAAUCAUUAGACCGUAUCUGAAACCAGUAGUGAAGUAUGUUGUUUAAUUAGAAGUUACGCAAAAAACCUUACCACAAUUUGAAUAUUUAUAUCUAUUUUUUUUUCUUAAAAGGAAAUAGACAUAUUUACAAGCGUUGCACGGCUGUCUUCAGUUAAUGUCGUGAGAUUUUGGUUAGUUCCAUUAAAUUAACGUAAACCCUCACUUUAUUUUUAUAUAAAGUGGUUCCCCACUAGAUUGGAUAAGAUAACAGGGACUAGGACA